CGGGGCUUAAAGUCUUGUAAUUGGAAUGAUGGGAAUUUAAACCUCUUCCAGAGUAUCAAUUGGAGGGCAAGUCUGGUGCCAGCAGCCGCGGUAAUUCCAGCUCCAAUAGCGUAUAUUAAAAUUGUUGCAGUUAAAGAGCUCGUAGUUGAAUUUCUGCUGCAUUGCUUGUGUCCCUCUGGGGUCUGUGCAUGUGGCUUUUUUCGGACGGAGUUUCUUUGUCUGAAUGUUUACUUUGAGAAAAUUAGAGUGCUCAAAGCAGGCUUUCGCCUUGAAUAGUUUAGCAUGGAAUAAUAAAGUAGGACUUUGGUUCUAUUUUGUUGGUUUUAGGUACCAAAGUAAUGGUUAAUAGGAACAGUUGGGGGCAUUCGUAUUUAACUGUCAGAGGUGAAAUUCUUAGAUUUGUUAAAGACGAACUACUGCGAAAGCAUUUGCCAAGGAUGUUUUCAUUAAUCAAGAAC
rnacentral:rRNA from 1 species